GUCUGGGAUAGCUCACUUGGUAAAGCAUGAGACUCUUAAUAUCAGGGCCAUAGGUUUGAGUCCCACGUUGGGCA